UGCGUCUUGAAUUAUAUGGAACAAUUCAAACAUAACCAACUUGUGAUGGUGCUAAUCUGGCUCAUGUCCUGAUGUGUCGUCUGGAUGCACACAUGUUGGCCAUUGCAUAGCCGCCAUAGCAUAUUUCUAAACCAUUUUCUAAAGCAAAGACGUCUAUAUGUGUCUUGAAAUAUUUGGAACAAUUCAAACAUAACCAACUUGUGAUGGUACCAAUCUGGCUCAUGUCCUGAUGUGUCGUCUGAAUGUACACAGAUUUACCAUUGCAAUAAAGUAAAUUUAAAAUUCACUAAGUGUAUAUACUUUUUAUAAUUGUACAAUUAAUUAAGUUAACUAAAAUUGUGAUGGGGCCAUCUAUCUCGUAUCCUGAUGUUGGUCAUUGAUACUGGCUUGUGUGGUGAGAUGUGGUUCGAAUGACCAGACUAUGUAUUGCAAAACGUCUUUUUUCGAAAAUUUAUUUUUGUAUGAUUGCAGAAGCUGUUAAAAUUCAUUUUCAAUCGCGGACGAAGUUGGCACGCAAUCCAAUUACACCAAGAAAGAAACUCAGGAUGUGUAUGCGAAGUAGGAGAGAAGGGUAUU
rnacentral:lncRNA from 1 species